GACGAACGCUGGCGGCGUGCUUAACGCAUGCCAGUCGAACGGAAAGGCCCUGCUUUUGUGGGGUGCUCGAGUGGCGAACGGGUGAGUAACACGUGAGUAACCUGCCCUUGACUUUGGGAUAACUUCAGGAAACUGGGGCUAAUACCGGAUAGGAGCUCCUGCUGCAUGGCGGGGGUUGGAAAGUUUCGGCGGUUGGGGAUGGACUCGCGGCUUAUCAGCUUGUUGGUGGGGUAGUGGCUUACCAAGGCUUUGACGGGUAGCCGGCCUGAGAGGGUGACCGGCCACAUUGGGACUGAGAUACGGCCCAGACUCCUACGGGAGGCAGCAGUGGGGAAUAUUGCACAAUGGGCGGAAGCCUGAUGCAGCAACGCCGCGUGCGGGAUGACGGCCUUCGGGUUGUAAACCGCUUUCGCCUGUGACGAAGCGUGAGUGACGGUAAUGGGUAAAGAAGCACCGGCUAACUACGUG
rnacentral:rRNA from 1 species